AUUGAACGCUGGCGGAAUGCUUUACACAUGCAAGUCGAACGGCAGCACGGACUUCGGUCUGGUGGCGAGUGGCGAACGGGUGAGUAAUGUAUCGGAACGUGCCCAGUCGUGGGGGAUAACGUAGUGAAAAUUACGCUAAUACCGCAUACGAUCUAUGGAUGAAAGCGGGGGAUCGCAAGACCUCGCGCGAUUGGAGCGGCCGAUAUCAGAUUAGGUAGUUGGUGGGGUAACGGCCCACCAAGCCAACGAUCUGUAGCUGGUCUGAGAGGACUACCAGCCACACUGGAACUGAAGCACGGUCCAGACUCCUACGGGAGGCAGCAGUGGGGAAUUUUGGACAAGGGUCGAAAGCCUGAUCCAGCCAGUCCGCGUGCAGGAUGAAGGCCCUCGGGUUGUAAACUGCUUUUGUACAGAACGAAAAGGUUUCUACUAAUACUAGGAGCUCAUGACGGUACUGUAAGAAUAAGCACCGGCUAACUACGUGCCAGCAGCCGCGGUAA
rnacentral:rRNA from 1 species